UGGGGAAUAUUGGACAAUGGGCGAAAGCCUGAUCCAGCAAUGCCGCGUGAGUGAUGAAGGCCUUAGGGUUGUAAAGCUCUUUUACCCGGGAUGAUAAUGACAGUACCGGGAGAAUAAGCUCCGGCUAACUCCGUGCCAGCAGCCGCGGUAAUACGGAGGGGGCUAGCGUUGUUCGGAAUUACUGGGCGUAAAGCGCACGUAGGCGGCUUUGUAAGUUAGAGGUGAAAGCCCAGGGCUUAACCCUGGAAUUGCCUUUAAGACUGCAUCGCUAGAAUUGUGGAGAGGUAAGUGGAAUUCCGAGUGUAGAGGUGAAAUUCGUAGAUAUUCGGAAGAACACCAGUGGCGAAGGCGACUUACUGGACACAUAUUGACGCUGAGGUGCGAAAGCGUGGGGAGCAAACA
rnacentral:rRNA from 1 species